rnacentral:rRNA from 1 species
GACGAACGCUGGCGGCGUGCUUAACACAUGCAAGUCGAACGGAAAGGCCCUGCUUUUGUGGGGUGCUCGAGUGGCGAACGGGUGAGUAACACGUGAGUAACCUGCCCUUGACUUUGGGAUAACUUCAGGAAACUGGGGCUAAUACCGGAUAGGAGCUCCUGCUGCAUGGUGGGGGUUGGAAAGUUUCGGCGGUUGGGGCUGGAAUCGCGGCUUAUCAGCUUGUUGGUGGGGUAGUGGAUUACCAAGGCUUUGACGGGUAGCCGGCCUGAGAGGGUGAACGGCCACAUGGGGACUGAGAGAGGGCCCAGACUGGUACGGGAGGCAGCAGUGGGGAAUAUUGCAGAGUGGGCGGAAGCCAGAGACAGCAACUCUGCGUGCGUGAUAACGUCCUUCGGGGUGUAAACCGCUUUCGACGGUGACAAAGCGGUAGUGACGGUAAUGGGUAAAGAAGCACCGGCUAACUACGUG